UACGGAGGUGGCAAACGUUGCUCGGAAUCACUGGGCUUAAAGGGCGUGUAGGCGGCCGUCUAAGUCGAAUGUGAAAUCCCUCGGCCCAACCGAGGAACUGCAUCCGAAACUGGGCGGCUAGAGUGCGGGAGGGGCAAGUGGAACUCCAGGUGUAGCGGUGAAAUGCGUAGAUAUCUGGAGGAACGCCGGUGGCGAAAGCGACUUGCUGGACCGCAACUGACGCUGAGGCGCGAAAGCCAGGGGAGCGAACGGG
rnacentral:rRNA from 1 species